UACGGAGGGUGCAAGCGUUAUCCGGAAUUACUGGGUUUAAAGGGUGCGUAGGCGGCUUGGUAAGUCAGGGGUGAAAUCCCGCAGCUCAACUGUGGAAUUGCCUUUGAUACUGCCGAGCUUGAAUCAGGAUGAGGUUGGCGGAAUGUGACAUGUAGCGGUGAAAUGCUUAGAUAUGUCAUAGAACACCGAUUGCGAAGGCAGCUGGCUAGACCUUGAUUGACGCUGAGGCACGAAAGCGUGGGGAGCGAACAGG
rnacentral:rRNA from 1 species